GGACUACACGGGUAUCUAAUCCUGUUUGAUACCCACACUUUCGUGCCUCAGUGUCAGUUGUAGCUUGGUAAGCUGCCUACGCAAUCGGAGUUCUGCGUGAUCUCUAAGCAUUUCACCGCUACACCACGCAUUCCGCCUACCUCAUUUACACUCAAGCUAUGCAGUUUCAACGGCAAUUUUAUCGUUAAGCGACAAGCUUUCACCGCUGACUUACACAGCCACCUACGCACCCUUUAAACCCAAUAAAUCCGGAUAACGCUCGCAUCCUCCGUAUUACCGCGGCUGCUGGCAC
rnacentral:rRNA from 1 species